GACUCCAGCUACCCAUUUGCCAAUAAAGAAUCCAUUGGUUCGGAACUGGGGAAUUCGUUUGCAUCAAAUAUUAGAAUUAAAGAAGAACCUUUGGAUGAUGAGUAUGACAAAGCAGUGGCGCCUCAGCAGGGACUACUAGACAGAGUUAAAGACGAACCUGACAAUGCUCAAGAGUAUGGUCAUGGCCAACAGCAAAAAACUCAAGAGGGGGAACUGAAAAUUAGUGCUGUGUUUUCAGUCAGUGGCAGUCCUCUGGCUCCACAGUUGACUACUGGCUUUCAGCCUUCUCUGGCAUCACCUGGCAUGAAUAAAAUGCUUCCUGCAGUUCCAGCCACAGCUAUUCGAGUUUCCUGCUCUGGUUGUAAAAAAAUCCUCCAGAAGGGACAGACGGCUUAUCAGAGGAAAGGGUCAACUCAGCUUUUCUGCUCCACCCUGUGCCUCACGGGAUACACAGUGCCACCUGCCCGCCCACCGCCGCCUCUCACCAAGAAGACUUGUUCCAGUUGCUCAAAGUAUAGCAGAGUUCUAAAUUAUCUUUUGUUUCUUUAUUUUUCUUAAUACUUGUUUCUUGACAUGUGUGUUGUUAUUAUUGCAUUUCAAUUUUGCUGUAGGUUUUUCUUGUUAACAACAACAACAAAAAAACCUAAAACAACAACAGCAGCAACAAUACAACUUACUCAGUGCCGCCAUGCUGCUGCUUCCUGCUCUUCUGGGAAGCACUCAAUCUCUUUCGCUC
rnacentral:lncRNA from 1 species